AACGAACGCUGGCGGCAGGCUUAACACAUGCAAGUCGAACGCAUCGCAAGAUGAGUGGCAGACGGGUGAGUAACGCGUGGGAACAUACCCUUUUCUACGGAAUAGCUCUGGGAAACUGGAAUUAAUACCGUAUACGCCCUACGGGGGAAAGAUUUAUCGGGGAAGGAUUGGCCCGCGUUGGAUUAGCUAGUUGGUGGGGUAAAGGCCUACCAAGGCGACGAUCCAUAGCUGGUCUGAGAGGAUGAUCAGCCACAUGGGGACUGAGACACGGCCCAAACUCCUACGGGAGGCAGCAGUGGGGAAUAUUGGACAAUGGGCGCAAGCCUGAUCCAGCCAUGCCGCGUGAGUGAUGAAGGCCUUAGGGUUGUAAAGCUCUUUCACCGAUGAAGAUAAUGACGGUAGUCGGAGAAGAAGCCCCGGCUAACUUCGUGCCAGCAGCCGCCGUAAAAC
rnacentral:rRNA from 1 species